CCCACCGGGGAGUCCCACCCCACGGCGGCACCGGGGGAGGGGACUGCGGGUGCGGGGAAAGCGGCUGUCAACGCCUGCCCCUCGGCCCCGCACCCCCUCUUUCCAUCACCCCCCUUCCCCUGCCCGCAUCCCUUCUUAUACCUUCCUCUCCCCAUAGUCCCUCCUCCGGCACCCCCCGGCCCCCAUGCCGCCCUCCCCCCGGCGCACACACGCACGGACGAGCUGCCAGCCCCAGACCCCGCUGUCCCGCCGGGACGUGCCCGGCCGCUCCCUCCCCCUAGUCCCGGCCCCCCCCCGCCCACAGCACCGCCCGGCCCGGCCCCGGGGGUCUGCGCCCGCAGCCGCUAGCGCGGGCCGGGGUAAAGAGAGGACCAGGGGCCAGAGCAGGAAAAGGUCUUGGGUAUAGGUCUUCCUAAGGGUCAUUCAAGAAAGCACAUACUAAACGUACCACACCAGAAGGAGAUAACCUCAAGACCAGCCUGAGUAUAUCCGAAGAGAUGAUCCUGACACAGCUUUCCCUGCUGCAAAAUACUCAGAAAACUAAAUGGUGAGGUCUGGAGACCACACUAAGAGGUUUUAAAACUGUAACAGGAUUAAAAAUGGCAUAUGGUCAAAGUCCUUAAAUAAAAGGAAAGUACAAGAAAGUAUCUAAAAGCUACAGUGAGACUUACUUGAAUAAACGUUUAUAAAUUUUAUCAAACAACUCGUCAUUUUGACAGUUUUCCAUAAACCCCUGGAACAUACAAAGCAUUUAAUUUAUUUGUGGCAAGAUAAAGAUAAUGAGUAACAUUUUUAAAGUUUAUUAACAUAGAAUGUCCUGGCCCAGCCAAACUUGCAUACUUCCAUUGUUUAAAUUAUAUUUUCUAAGAACACACACCAAAAAAAAAAGUUAGCCUUACAUAAGGGAGUUUCUCAUUUCAAAAGUCUUCAAAAUGAUCCUCAUCAUCUGUAUUCCUACAAACACAAACCAAAUGAACAGAGCAUAAACUAAACUGCAUAUAAAUGCCACCAGUACCUCAAACUGAAAAAUACUUGUAUGCGACAUAAAAUGUCACUCCAAUAGGGAGACUGCUGUAGCAGUUUGUAUCAAAUAUGCUAAAAUAACCAAAAAAAAAGGAAAUUGUAACAAAUGCUGAUGCUGUCUUAACUACAGGAUUCCCAGCAGAAGCUAUCCAAGAGGCCACAGGCCAAAGAAACAGAGUGAAGUGGCAUAUGCUCGUAUUCCUUUUU